UUUUCUGGGCUUCACAAGGUGGCUUCGAUCUUAUUUAUUUAUUUAUUUAUUUCCAUUGAAAUGCUUUUUGUGCAGCUAGAACGUAAAGCAGGAUGGAUGUCUCGAAUGUAAGAAAUGUGGCUUCCUAAGGGGAGUGGAAAAAAAGGCUUUCCGUGGAUUUUAAAGUAAUAGGGUUAAUCCACUGAAAUAGGUGUCUAUUUGCCAAAACGUGGUACACACAUAUUUUUCAAGUCCAUGUAUGUUAGAAGUAUCAUUAUCAUACUACAUCUCUAUCAAUUUAUUCAUCAGACAAACUCUCUUGAAAUUUACUGGUAAUAAAAAGCAUAUAUAUAUAUAUAUGUAUAUAUGUUGGGGUAGCUCAUUUCUCAGGGGGGAGCUUAUUUCUCAGUUGAUUUUGGUCAAUUUAGCUCCCCACCCUCCUGAGGGGUUUCAUGCAGGCUGACAGAUCUGUCGGAAAGUGGUGGUCUCUUCCUAACGAUGCUCAACUUGUACUGCUUGUACGCAGGGCUCAGGGCGGUUUGCCCAACGAGGUAACUUGCAUAAUAAUGGCUCAGCACUCCCCUAACAGGCUUGGAUGGCAGCCCAGAAUCUCUCUGCAGCCGAGGGUCAGUGUAAGAUUUCCUGAUUCACACUUUUUAAAAAACAUUUUCUGUUCCAAACUCUUGCUCCUGUUCUGGAGUUUUACUACCGCAGCUUUCCUUUGCAAAGAGUGGCCGCUUGUUCACCAGUGUGGCUGGAGAGCUGUUCCCCAAUGGCACGUCAUUUUAUUGAUUCAGGGUUUGGUGUUUAAAGUUCCGUCUGUGUUGGUGGAGCUGUUUGCACAGGCGUCGCAGGGCUGGGCUCACACUGCACGUGUGUGCCAGGCAGGAGGCUGGCAUGAGCCGAACCUACGCAUCUGAGAGGGUUCAUACAGGCACGUAAGUUAUUGGGUGAAGGAAAGGAUUCGAGGUGAAUGUUUACUCUGUGACUCAAAUACAAACCUGCAUAAGUGACAGAAAAGAAAGUUGAUUGCAACUUUAUCCUUAAGGAGAAAAGGUAAAAAAGGGAUGAGGUCAAUGUCCGCUGCCAACUGUGAACCCCACAAACACAGCGCUUUGCAUGAAGACCUCUGCUGAUGUCUGUAGGUUAACAACAUUCUGAGCCGGUCUUGUAGCUCCUGAAACUUGUGCAGCGCCUGAGCUUGGGCAGCUGGUUCCAGCACCAGGCACUGCGAGAGGUUGAGCAGGAUGGUUGUUCAGAAGGCCGAGGGUAAGACAACCUCCUCAGUCACCCUUUUAUUUCCUAGGAGGAAGGCUCAACAGUAUUUCUCCUCUGGGCAGCAGCAUGGGUACCAGAAGAUGUCAUCCAGCUGCAGCAGGAAACCUCCUGUGCCAUCUUGUCAGGGGUGUAGUCAUCAGGAGGUGCAUCACAGCUGCCUUUGAGGAAGAGGUGGAACAGCCUGUGCCUUCCAGGAUACGGUGCAGAGCUGCGACAUAAUAUUAAUACACAGAGACAUCUUUGAUGAAAAGGGAAGCAGUCCAGAAACCUAUAAAAGUAAGAGAAGAGGAGGACAGAAAGCAUUCCGCUUUGAUACAUCUCACCUCCAAAUGCUGCCCUGAUUCUGCUGCAGCUGAGCAAGUAGCAACCUAUGCCUGCUUUCCCCAAUAAAGUGUAUUGCACAGACAAUCAGGAAGAGAGGUAAUUUAUUGUCAUCUUUGCAAAGCUGAAGGUCCCUGGGGGAACUGACUCUCUCACACAGGCUGGGCAGUCACUGUCCAGGAGGUGACAGCGUGUUCUGUUGUAAGCCCGCUUGCGAUGGCAUCUUGGUCUGGGUUGGGUGAGAUUCCUCAGACUCUGCUUUUGAGGAAUUCCUCUAACGCAGCUUGCCCACAGUCCAGAACACAUGCACGAUUCCUCCACGACUGUUCCCAGGUGCGAGGAUCAAUUCCCACCGUCUUCUUCAGGUGCAGUGUACUCAGUUCUCCCCAGAGAACCUCUGGGCUGAGCAGAUUCUCUGCCCCAGAGCCUGAAAUUGUCACCCAGGCCAAACCAGUGCAAGGGGAACAGAGUGGGAAAGUCAUUCUGUAGCUGCUGUUGACUUAAAUUCCUGCUGUACAGGAAGGAUCGUCCACAAGAUGAAAUUUCUACUGCUGGGGGGUUUCAUUUCUCACAUUCCCUCCUUUUCUUCCCCAAGGGAUGAGGUCAAUGUCCGCUGCCAACUGUGAACCCCACAAACACAGCGCUUUGCAUGAAGACCUCUGCUGAUGUCUGUAGGUUAACAACAUUCUGAGCCGGUCUUGUAGCUCCUGAAACUUGUGCAGCGCCUGAGCUUGGGCAGCUGGUUCCAGCACCAGGCACUGCGAGAGGUUGAGCAGGAUGGUUGUUCAGAAGGCCGAGGGUAAGACAACCUCCUCAGUCACCCUUUUAUUUCCUAGGAGGAAGGCUCAACAGUAUUUCUCCUCUGGGCAGCAGCAUGGGUACCAGAAGAUGUCAUCCAGCUGCAGCAGGAAACCUCCUGUGCCAUCUUGUCAGGGGUGUAGUCAUCAGGAGGUGCAUCACAGCUGCCUUUGAGGAAGAGGUGGAACAGCCUGUGCCUUCCAGGAUACGGUGCAGAGCUGCGACAUAGUAAGUAGAAGCUGUUCUGACAGGCGUGCCUCGCCGUGAGCCUGAAGAAGCGCAGCUGAUGGUCAUGAUGUGAUGUUGUCUCUCACGGCGUGCUGACAGUGAAGCCAGCGCCUGCCUAGUUGGUACUGCAGCAUAAGGAGUCUGGUUCAGCUUCCUGCACAGCAAAAAUCAGCUCCAUGAAGAUGGUCCUCUGGGAGGUGGUUGUCAGCUGUAGCUUGCAGGAAUGGGAGGAGGGCAGCACUGUUAGCUGGCAGUGGUGCGACACAGGCAAAAGCACCCAGGCCUUUUUCACCGUUUCUUGGACCCAGGAGGCAACCUUCUCCGUGUCUAGGUAGGACUGGGUGCAGAGGGUGCUUAGGAGAUGCGAGGCCUGAUUCUUCCCCAGGUUGUCAUUGGGAUGGUGGAGGAUGCACUUCACGUCCCCCAGCAUCCUCUCCCUGGAGCACUCGCACUUCUGUUCUACACGGACGCCGGAGUGCCUCUUUGGCCGCUGCCCUGUGGGGUCCAAGUCAAGGAGGAAGGAGAACCCGGGAGGUGGAUCCAGGAACACGUGCAGGCUGUAGAAUAAGCAACCCUUCUGGACAUUCCAGCCAGUGUAGGUGUCAUUCAUCCCCAUGUCUAGGUGCAGCUGUGGCAUGAAAAUAUUCUUGGAAAGCAUUCGGCAGAUGCAGAGGAGGUCUCCUACUAGCUCCUUGCACACGAUGGUCACUUCCUGCAUGGGCCCAGGGGUGAGCUUUUCCGAAGGCCUGAAAGCACGCCGUGCACCACUGCGGUCUUUUAGCUCAUUGUCCUCUUCCCCCUCCUCCUCACUGCUGGAGCUGAUCUCCUUUCUGCUUCUGGCAGGCUUUGUCUUCCUUCGCCUGGCCAGCCAGCAGAGCCCACAGAACAGGACAAGGGCUCCAACAAUGGCCCAGAUAUGCCACUGCUGGAACACAGUGGAGAGCGUGGCUUCCUCAACAACCACCUUGUUCUCCAUCUCGUCUUGCAGCCGAGCCAUCUCCCGUCUCAGCUGCUCCUCACGCUUCCAUAUCCGCUCAAGCGUGGACAUGUCAGCCUGUUCGUUGACAUGCCCCACGUACUGGCUUCCCAGCACAGUCAGGACAAAGGCAAUCCACUCAGCCACGGCCUGGAGGAGGGGGGAGAGAAAGGGGGUUAGUGGGCCUGUCUGGAGGGAGCUGGCUGCUGGGGGAGUGGGGCUGGUAAGAGGGCUGGUCUUGGAGUGGGCAAAAGCAGGGCUUGUGAGCACUGUGUGGCUGGGUGUCAGCAGGCUUGAAGGGGACACAGGCCCCGGGUAGAGACUCCCCGAGAGUCCCUUUGCCCUUGCUCCCAGCCCCCAUGGCCGCACCGGGCCCUGCCCACGGUGUGGCCCGGAGUGUCUGGACCCCAGGUGCAGGCUCAGAACCCCCCCCCACCCCAGAUGCGUGCUGCGGCCCUUGCCCAGCCCAGCCUUCCCCCACACACCAUAUUCACAGAUCGCCCAAGUCCAAAUGAAACGGACUGCCUGGUGCUCGCUCCCUUAAGGACAGGUCUCCAUUGUGACUUGUCCUCUGAUGUGUGUGUGACAGGCGUCAGAGCCAUGUCAUAGACGUCCCACCGCCCAGCUGACGCACGGCUGCCUUGGGCACCAAGGCCCCGGCACCCCCAACCUACAAACCCAAGAGCAGUGAGCUCCUAGGGGCAGACAUUCCCUCCGAACUUUCCUUUAAUGGACAUUCUAGGUGGGUGUCCAUGACUUACACAGUGUGGUAAAUUUUUCUGAACCCGGUGGCCCUAAUCCACGUUGCCUUUACGCCAGUAGCUUUUGGGGGCCAUAAAACAGAGGCUGUUCUUGCUUCUCAUGAAAGUUGCCCUGGGAGCAGCGAGCACCUUGCAGUGACCCUGGCCUGGAGGGAUUCACCACUGUAACAGAUCUGGCAACGUUUGUCUUAUACUUGUACCUCGUGUGAUCUCUUCAGGUCAUACAGCUUUGGAGGUGUGGGUGGAAAGCAGUGCUUUUGCACAUGAGCAGUCUGUCAGCAGCCAGAGCACUACCUCCUGAAAAACUGAAUCUCCAGUCAUAAAAUUAAGAUAUUUUAAUUGGAAUACAGUAACACAGCAUGAUCUGUAGGUCUUUUUGUGUUUCUUAAUGUGAUGAUCCUCCAUCUGAAAGCAGCUCCUUGGGGAGAAGCAGCAAUAGCAAGGGAUGAAACUGAUGAUUGUAACAGUGUCCUUUGAAGCAAGUUUGCAAGUACCGGGGGUCCGAGUGAGCUCUCCAGAAGGCCAGAGAAAGAAAUAUAAGAAACGGUGAUGCUAAAGUACUAUGCAUAAAUCUAAUCUUUGCUAACCUACUUGCAAGUAUAAGGUUAUUUUAUGUCCACUCCUACGUCCAAGAAGAAACUCAGCCUUUGGCACUUCUUCCCAGAAAGCCAGUAGGAACCCUGCUGGUUUACUGGGAUUGUCCCUUUUACAGCAGGAUCAGAAGCUGGCUUUACAGCAUGUUUUCUCUGAGGUGACCCAGAGUGUUCGUAUUUUCCUGAAACUUUCCAUCUGUGUUACAUACACAGUGUGUCCUUCCUUCCUCAAUUGAACACAUCUGGACUGUACUUUUAAAGCCCUUGUGUAAAGUCUACUACUCAAACAGUGUAAAUCUUGAUAUGAUCAGUCAAACAAAUAUUUUUUAAAAGCUUUUCUGUAUAAUGUGACCUAGGGAAGUGCAUUAGCCAAGUAAAUAACCGUUUGUUGUUGGUGGUGGUGGUGUGUUUUAUUUUUGUUGUUGUUAUUUUGUUUGUUUGUUUUCCCAUUAACGACUGAUUUCUCUGUAAAUCUGUGAUUUCUCUGAUUUCUCUGACCUACAGUACUGCUUUCUGGGAAUAAAGUAGUACUGAUGAAGAGAAGAGAAUCUAAAAGAAAUAUGUAAUUUUUUCAUUCCAAAAAAUGUAUAAACAAAACCAGAGCACUGAGGUGUCUCUGUUUUUAUAUCCUUUAGAUUGACAUGCCUUUGAUGCUUUGUCUUCCUUUAUCUCCAGGUCAGAGGUAUCAUGCUGUACAUUAUAACUGCAACACUGUUUUCAUUUUUCUCAACAUCUAUGCAUAAGCUAUGCCUUUAAAAAGACAAAUUCAUCUUGUGGCUGCCUGCUCUGUGGCUUCUUAUAUAAUUUGAUGUAUAUUUAUUUAUGUCUUUCCAUUGCAAAGAAUGACAGUUUUUACCAAAAGAAAACAAGGCAUUCAUUCUCAUUUGUUUAGGGUUCCAAGAUGUAUCUUUGCAAAUAAUUUGUCUCCACAGCUUGCUUGAAGACUGAGAAUAGGAAAUAUAGAUCUUAGAUAAAGAAUAUGGCAAAGCAUGUAGCACUGGAGAUAAUCUUUUAUAAUCAAGGUUGGUCCAUGAUAGACUGUGCCUGUAGUUUUUAUACAAUUAUGCUUUUCUGAUGUGCAGAGGUAAGUAUGCAACCGUUGUAAAUUAAUAUUCAGCAGAUUUGUUAGCAUGCAGACCUUUGCAAGAUAAUCAAAAGAGCACUUAAAAAGUAUUGUAAUAAUAAAUUUCUUACAACAGAUGUUCCUUAGCAGAUUUUAUCUAUGUCAUUUCAGUGAUAAAUUCUUCUGACUUCUUAACCUUUAACUACAGUUACACAUUUACCUUUGGUUGUGAGAAAUAAAAAGAACUGAUAAGAAUUUUCUAAAAUUGAUUUAUCUGGAGGUCACUGAGUCUAUGACAAUGAAGAAAACAAAACAACAACAACAAAAAGCCCCUAAUAUUUACCAUGAGGUUAGAAAUUAUGUAAAAACAGUAAAAUGAUUAGAUCCUAUAAUGGGAAUUCUCCAAGUUCUUAAAGUUCUUGCAAGUUAUUAAGCCAAAAGUCUAAAUCUAAUCUUCCUAAGACAUGUUAUCCUCUGUUCACUCUUUAUUCAGAUAUGAUUUUAGUCUAGAAGACAGAUUAAAUGUGAGAUUCACAUCACAUAUUCUUUACUUUCUAAAAUUAAGGUAUAUGCAUCAAAACACUCAUCAAGGCUGUCUUUAUAAUUAAUAUAGAAAAAACUAUUCUAAAUGAAAACUUAUUUUAUAUGCCUUAAAUAGCUGUCUUAAAAUGGAGUGAACCAUAUCUAAAGUUGCUUAACUGUCAUGUUUAUUGUGGCUUAGUAGUGACAGAACCACAGGGUCAGUUUUGGCAUUAAUUUCUAGCUACAGGCUUUGUCCACAAAAAUAUUUUUUCCAUUUGCUUGGAUUCUAACUCUGUGUUCCAAGCAGUUUCUGCCCAGGGGUAUCCUUGUCAGCUAAGCUUAGACCUACCUAGAUCUUUGAAGAUAUGAGAAUUGCAUACCUAAAUGCUAUUGAGAAAGUAUUGUUCUACUCGUGCCUUUGCAAAGUAUAACUUGUAAUAGUAUUUAUUUCCUUCUUUCCACCUGAAACUGAAGUUUGUUAGAGACAUAAAUAGAGACUGUUAAUUUUUACUAGAAAAUUAAACAAUGUCAAGGAAUAUUUUAGCCCUGAUGUCAAGUGAUAUUGUCUGGUUUUGAUCUUAAGAUUAAACUCUUCCUCACAAACACAGUGGCAAAGUGCCUGUUGGAAGAGGUCCUUGGUUUCUGUUAAUAUCCAACCUUUGCUGAGAAUUACUUGAGAGAUGGCUAUUUGGCUCUGUCCAGUCUAGAAGUGAAUCAAACAGCAAGGAAAAUCACAUGUUCAUGUCAAUAACACUCACUUUCAUUUUUUUUAUUUUACUAAUAUAGUUGUGGAGAUAGAGGAGACAGAUUCUUUAAUAAGAGUAGCUAGAUUUUACUUGUCUUGGCAUGUAGAGCUCUGUGAACCUCUUAUCUGUAAAGUAAAAUUCUGUAAAAUAGAAACAUUACCUAAAUGAUAUAGAUAUUUAUGAAACUAUUUCUUCAGUCUUUACUGUGGCCCCAGGAACAUAGCUUAUAGUGUUCUGCAGUCUGUAGAAUUUUCUACUAUACAAUGUGAAAAGCAUCUGUAAAAUGGGAAAAAUAAGCAGAAAAGCAUACGGUGUCACUGCUUCCAUUUCUUCAGGAUGGUGAUGCACUAAUGAUGGAGAUAGAGAAGACAGUAGAAAAACGAGUAGGAAACUGUAGUAUUUUCUAGGCCUGCACACUUCUUUAACUUAUAAGAUCCUCAGAGUGAAGAAGAGCUGGACUACAGCCAUUAUAGAGUGCUUUCAGUGAUGAUGCUAGAAGGAUAUACAGCUGCCAAGCCAUUAUUGAAAUUAUCUAGAUUCUGCAUACCAAACUGAGUUGAGCUAAUGUGUACUGUGUAUACCUUUUAGUCUUUGCUCUUUCCACUAAAUGUAUACAUCAGCAAACUUAGGGCUGGGAGAUAGGUUAAUUAGAUGCUUUUCUUGGGGGGGGGGAAAUAAAAAAUAAAGGUCAUUUGAAACUGUGGUGGCUAUUGUUAAAGACACUAGAAGAAAAUGCAUAUGAAGGGAAGUGCAGUAGGGACAAGUUCAUAUCUUUUCCUUCCUCAGGAGAUAUUUAAGAAAGCCAAGGCUGAUAAGAAUAUGGGCAUGUCUGAAGUUGUUUAGUGGCUCUUACUGGAUUUUUCAAUGUUUUACUCUGAAUGAAUCUGAAAUGCAGUCAGAACUUGUUUGCAAUCAAAACCAACAAGAAGUCCUGCCAACAGACUGAGCUGCUUCAAACAAACAGCACCAGUUUAUAGGUUCAUAAAUAUUGGGUGCAGUGCUUUGAAAACUGUAUUGAGCAUUCCCAAAUGCCAUGGUGGCAGCUGAGCAAAGAUUAAAAGAGUAAUGGGGGAAAAAAAUCCAGCUGCCUGUGUUUGUGGGGAAGAACCUCUCAAGCAGCAAAAACAAAAGACAAUCUAAGCAUAGUUUAUGCAUAGUAGUUUGAAGAAUAUAUACACUUUACCCCACACCUGAUUUUCUUUUGUUCUGAGAGAAUGAGGUGACUCAUAAUAAUCAAGCUCCAUAGAGCUCAUAAAACAGAGGAGACAGGCUCCACAUUAGGGUGUCAAUAAGUAUUUAUCCCAAGAAUUAAUGCAUUUUUCACAAGCUCAGUGCUUAUUUUCUGUCUGGUUAAUAACAUAGACAAUAUGCCUUUGUUGGCUGUGUAGCAGAGCUGAAGAAAAGCAGUUUGUAAAUGAAGGCACAAUUCAAGGUAGGAGGAGUAGAGGAAUGGUUGGACUGUGCCUAUUGUGUAGUAUUCCUUUAGCGGACUAUACUUUUAUGAUACUUUUAUGACUUCUGAUGUCACUUCAGAGUGUUUUUUUGUUUUGUUCUGUUUGUUUGUUUUCUGGGUUGAUAUUUGAGAUAGUAGAUUUGGAUAUCAGAAACCUAGGAAGAGCCUUCUUUCUGUAUCAUGAUCAUGCUGAAUUAUAGAUAUCUGGCUACUUCUGUAUCUAACAGCUUUCAUAUCAUAAUUUUUGGAGGUAGAAAUUUUACAAGUUCAUCUAAGAAAAGCUUAGAACCUGGAGAGGAUUUAUUCUUGGUUGCUGUGAAGUAACUACAACUCCAUGCGAUAAUUUUCACUGGUUUUAUUUUCUGUGAUUCGCUGUAGUUUACAUUCUCAAUAUAAAUGCAUCUUUCUUCAGUGAAACACUUUGCUGGUCACAUUUAAAAUGGAAGAAGGGAAGGAACAGAGGAUUAUCAUAAACUGAGGAUGUAAAGUCUUUGGGAUGUAGUUUGUUUGGAGUAAGGUUAAUUUUAAGAUGAGGUGUGUAUUGGCUUGUAAUAGAUGGUUGAGCUCAGGUUGGAGUGAAAGAAUUUAGUUGAAUUUGGAUGAGUUUUCCUAAUUAAUUUGCAGUAUGUGUAUAUUAAUUAUUUUUUAUUUAUUUUAUUUGCAUGGUAAUAAAGCAUUCCCAAAUUUCAUAGCCAUUCUGGAACUAAGAGGUAGACUUCAGACCUUGGCUUUCAGUUAAAUUCCUAUCAAUUCUCAAAUCUGAAUAACCUCAUAUCUUAAGUCUGUACUUGCAAAUAGUUGUUUCUUUAGUAGGUACAUUUUCUUAAAAUUACAUUUAGAAGGGGCGAUGUAUACAUUUGUCAACAUGUAUGGUACUCUUCUACUUGCGUCAUUUGUUUUUAGGGUAAUCAACGUAGUAUCCUGACACACUGGUAAUGGUGAUCAAAUGGGUUUAGCAACAGAGUGUCUGAGGAAGUGCGAGUUAGAAGCUGCUGUUUUGCAGAGACAAUGGAAGUUGCUCUCUGAAUUACUUCCCCUGUUAUUUCUCCAGUCUGGUGAGAUUCGUGAGUGUCAUAAAAUGAACUGUGCUACACUGAGACUGCCUUCUCACUGCGGCUGUUCAGUAUGAAUAAAGGAAAGUGACUGAUUCUGUGUAACUCACAAGCAAUUAUAGCAGUGAAGGUGAGAGUGGGACUGUAAAUAAUCGAAGUAAAUGAGAAGGCAGAAUGCUCUCGAGCUUUUCUCACCUAACAACACAAAAGUGAAGGGCAAGGGUAAAGCAGUUUGCACUAGUUGAGGAAACUUAUUAACUUAUUCAUUGAGAAGAAAAAGCAAGUGAAAGGGCACCUUCCACAUCAGUAUUUGAAGGAGGUUGUAAUAGCAUUUUUAAUGAGGAUGAGGCAUAGGCAGAAAGAAGGGUUCAUCUUUCUAGAGGAAUGAUCACACAGGAUUGCCUGGCUCAUCACAUAGCGCAACAACAGUCCGUCAGGCAGGAGGUAGACUUGUGUGACUCCUUUCAGAGAUGCAGACACUGGAGCCAGGCAUAGCUCUUUGUCAAUACAUUGCAUGUCACUCCCUCCCUUUAACGAGUUGAUCUUAGCAGGAGAGGAGAUAAUGUUUGUCCAUCUAGGGCAUCUAGUAGGACUGCUAUUUUGGGCAACAUUUAGAGCCUAACCUGGGUCAGGCAGUUGUGUCCUAAUCCAGCCUGUCAGCUCUAAUGUGGUCCUGUCAAUGUCUUCCAGUGUGAUACAAGAGAGCCUUGGCAUCCUAUUUGAGCUCCAAGCUGUCUGUAAAAUGUGGACAAUAUAGUUUACUGUAUAGUCAACCAUUCCUGUUGUUAAAAUAUUACCUAAAUAUUAUUAAUGGCUAUAUAUGUAGCAAAAGAAUUAAUUAAAAUGAUCUCCUGAAAAUACCAGCUCCCAUUCUGGUAGUGGCUUCAAAUCUCACUAUUGUGAAUCUGUGUUUGAAAAUCUUUUUUUGUAUUCUUGUGUGUCAGAUUUGAGCAAGGGUCAGACUUUGGCUCAGAAGCUCAGUAUUGCCACAUGCAUAAACAAGAAAGGAUGUUAGGAGAAGGGUAGAAUGGGAGAAUACAACUUGAGAAGAUAGCUAUCAAUACAUCACAUCAUAUUCAGAGUUCAGAGUUUACUAAGCUGUAGCAGCUCACUCACUAGUGGACUUUGAGGCAGUUACAGACAUCUCAAAACAAAACAAUAACAAAACCACCAUACUGCUUAAUGAGUGUUUUCAAGGAAAAAAAAAAUAAUCACAUUGAUCUGUGAUAAAUUUGCUGUGGCCUGUAACAAAUUCUGAAAUGUGGCAAUAACCUGCUGCAGAGCUGGCCCCUUAUUUAAAGGUUCUGGUCUUCUGCAGACAGUCCUGCAAAUGAUGGACUAGAAUGUGAAAUAAUUGCGGGGGUGAACAUUAUGGAAGUAAUGUACUUAAAAUGAAAUUUCUUCCAAACAUAAAAUAGUUAAGGUUUUCCCUGAAGUACAAAUAUUUUCAUCUCUUUAUCGUUUUCUUCCCAUCUGAUUUAAUUAUUCAGAAUUAAAUUAUUUAUUCAAAAGCCCAAUUCUUAAAUAUUUUGUUAAGACUAGAUACCUGGCUCCAGUAGUAUUGUGUGAAGAAGAACUCAGCUGGUUAAUUAAAUGCAUUAUUAAGAAGUGUCCAGGGAAUCUUUUGGAUUGGCAAAAUCAAAAUAAUCAAAAAAAAAAAGAAUAGGACAAAGUAAAGAAACUGACUCCUAAUAGGAACAAUACGGGCCAAAAAUAUCUAAUUAUUUUUGAAGAUAGAAAAUUAUGAGAUAGAUUAUAGGGUGUGGGUACUUAGGAUCUGAAGGAAUGGACUUGGAGUAUGAGGAUAUGACUUCCGAUUCACUGUUUCUGUACAGUUAUUAUGCUGCUUCAACUUUAAAUGUUUGAGCUGAAAACAGAAGAACAGCAGGAACAUCUGUGGCCUCUCAACACGGCACCUGUGUUUAAACCAUUAAACCACCUGUUUAAAAAGGUGUAACUAAUACUAUCCUAACUCAUUACAGAUAAAAAUCUGGCUGUAGGUGCCACAUUGGAUUAAUGAAAAUAAAUUAAAUAAAGAAAUAAAAUAAAUAGUUAAAUAAAUAUCGAUAAAAUAAAAAAGUAUUCAUUUUGGAAACUUUAACCUGCAAAGACCUCAGUGCAAGUAGUUUCCUGGCAACGAAGAAUGUUCUUAUAUAGAGCAGCUAACACUGAGUGAGGAUGCCAGAUCUGGGCCAAAAUCAAUUAAAAUCAGAGAAAGUAACAGUUGACUUUGUUAUAAGAAAAAUAACUUUUUUCUUAUUUCUUCCUACUCCAGAAGAAAACCUGCUACUAGGAAAUUAGUAGAUAUUUACCAGCCUUCUGCCUGAAUUUCAUUUGUUCGUUUCUCUCCCUACUUGAAGUUGAAGGCUUUCCUUUCAGAAAAUAGUUCAUAGGCUUGCAUUUACUGAAAAAGAAAAAAAAAAAGAGAAAAAAAAGAAAAAGAAAAGAAAAGGGAGAAAUAGAAGCUUUUCAACUUAGUUGCCUAAUGAGUAAAUGCAUUGAACAGAAAUUCUCUUUUGUCUUUCUACUUCUUUUGAGUUCUCUGUUUUUGAGUCGAAAACGAAACAAAGCAAAACAAAAACAAAAGAAAACACCCCACCAACAUUUUUUGGCUGUGAUCAUAAAGAUAUGACUUUCUGGCCAUGACAGGAAUUGUUCGUGAGUGCUGAAAACCAUCAUACAGACAUUUGACUUCAUGGAAUACUGUCUCAUAAAGACAUCUAAACUGUAGUACAAAACUCACUGAAUCAAAGGUUCACUCUUGCUCUUUGCCUGAGUUUUAAGACAUUGUUUUGGUUUAAAACUUUAGCACAAAACUCCUAACACCCUUUAGAAAAGUUAAAGCAUCACUACACAUUUUAAAUAUCUGUGUAAUUUCUUCUUUUCAAGUACUCUGUGGUAAAACACCUGCUCUUACUGAAAUACCAUCAAUUUUAUUUAUUUAUUUAUUUAUCUAUAUAUCUAUCUAUUUAUUUAUUUAUUUUCCCCCAGCUAACCUUAUGCAACAACCAAGUAUCUAACAAAUAAGGUGGUUGUUUCAGGUGACAUGAAUGAAUUAAACCUUUUGCAUUCUACCUGCAUGUCUGUCAUUACGUUAGGCUUUUCACCGGUAGUUCACACAUCACAGAAGGAGAUUUGCUCAAUUUGCCUUCCAUGUAAGCUUACAGUUUACAGAUAAAGUACAGGUCAGGAAUCAUGGCCAUUUAUAAUUUCCUGUACACCUUAAGGAAAGAUAAUUCAACAUUGCUAAAGAGUGUUGGUUAUGCAGUGAACUUUCCAGCUUGCAUUGAGUCAGAUUAGCCUAUACAGUUUCACUAGAUUUAAAUCUGUGUUUCUUGCAUAAUGAAAAAAAAAAUUGCUCAAUGAAAUAAUCCAGUGGUGUAUCCAUAUAUAAAAGUCCAUGACCAAGUUCAUAUCUUAUUUAAUUCCACUGACAUUUUUAGACUCACACCGUGGAUGAAUUUUUCUUGUUCAGUGUACCCUGUCACUAUUUUCCAUAUUAAUAUUAAUGGAAUUGCCAUAGUAUCUUGGUUUUUCUUCUAGCAUUAUAACUGUGCACUCGAUAAAUAAAAUAUAGCAUUAACAAGAUAAAUAACUGAGAUUGGCAUGUGUAUGUAUCCAGUGUACACAGAAAAUGUUGGAAUUUCAUUAUAACUGCUUGGGGAAAAAUUUAUAAUAUCUAAAUAAGUAAAGUCAGAUUUUAAUUCUC